UACGUAGGGGGCAAGCGUUGUUCGGAUUUACUGGGCGUAAAGGGCGCGUAGGCGGCGUGACAAGUCACUUGUGAAAUCUCCGGGCUUAACUCGGAACUGCCAAGUGAUACUGUCGUGCUAGAGUGCAGAAGGGGCAAUCGGUAUUCUUGGUGUAGCGGUGAAAUGCGUAGAUAUCAAGAGGAACACCUGAGGUGAAGACGGGUUGCUGGGCUGACACUGACGCUGAGUGCGCGAAAGCUAGGGGAGCAAACGGG
rnacentral:rRNA from 1 species